AACUUAUGAUCCCGAAACCGGACUUCUCAGCUAAAAUGUUUAAAUCAAAACGCCUCCACGGGACUGUAAAAGUACAAAGCUGCGACUAAAGGGUGGCGCUUUGUUACAAGCAGCAACUGAAGUAGAACAAAACACUGUUCCGAGCGAAAUUACGGAGCACGGGAGGGAGCGAGACGAGCCAUUUUAAUGUUAGCUUAGUGUUGACGUUAAUUGCGGUGACAAUGAAGUAGCUGCUCGUAUCCCCUUUGUUAGCUCUCAAGCUAGUGACGAUAACUAAUCAAGUUAAAGUGCCAACAUCUGGUAGAAAAACGCAUGAAAUUGUAUUUUAAGAUAAACCGGCGCGUUUAGGCUAUUCCUGGUACUGCCUCUCUGUGGCGGUGAAGAAGUCCUCCAGAACGCUCCUCAGGUACUCGAAGGUGGGCCUGUCGUCUGGGUUUUCCCUCCAGCACAAGCACAUGAUGUUGUAAAGCCCCUCUGGACAGUUGUCCGGCCUCGGCAUCCUGUAGUUCCUCUCCAGGUUCUGGAUUACCUCUGGGUUGGACAUACCUGAACAACAGAUUGGCUCCUGGGUGACGACAGCAAAGAGGCGGACGAGGCGUGGAUGCUGCAAGUUCUUCAUCAUGUUCGCCUCUGCCAGGAAGGCUUCCACUGACAUUGUACCCAUCUUCAGGUUUUUAAUUGCCACCUUCCGG